GCCGUCAUAGCUCAAUUGGCAGAGCAAUUGAUUUGUAAUCAAUAGGUUGUAGGUUCGAGUCCUAUUGACGGCACCA
rnacentral:tRNA from 1 species